rnacentral:rRNA from 1 species
AAUAGAUACCCUGGUAGUCCACGCCCUAAACGAUGUCAACUAGCUGUUGGGGGGCUUCGGCCCUUAGUAGCGCAGCUAACGCGUGAAGUUGACCGCCUGGGGAGUACGGUCGCAAGAUUAAAACUCAAAGGAAUUGACGGGGACCCGCACAAGCGGUGGAUGAUGUGGAUUAAUUCGAUGCAACGCGAAAAACCUUACCUACCCUUGACAUGUCUGGAAGGCCGAAGAGAUUUGGCUGUGCUCGCAAGAGAACCGGAACACAGGUGCUGCAUGGCUGUCGUCAGCUCGUGUCGUGAGAUGUUGGGUUAAGUCCCGCAACGAGCGCAACCCUUGUCAUUAGUUGCUACGAAAGGGCACUCUAAUGAGACUGCCGGUGACAAACCGGAGGAAGUGGGGAUGACGUCAAGUCCUCAUGGCCCUUAUGGGUAGGGCUUCACACGUCAUACAAUGGUCGGGACAGAGGGUCGCCAACCCGGCAAGGGGGGAGCCCAAUCCCGAGAAACCCGAUCGUAGUCCGGAUUGCAGGCUGCAACUCG